AUGGCUUUAGUUAGAAAAUAUGGAAAACCAGACGUAUUCCUCACAAUGACCUGCAACCCCAACUGGGAAGAGAUCACACGUGAACUACACUUUGGACAAACACCACAAGAUUGCCCAGACAUUGUCGUUCGUGUUUUCAGGGCGAAGCUAGAAGAAAUGAAGAAGCAACUAUUUGAGAAGGCCAUUCUUGGAAAGGUUAAGGCAUAUACAUAUGACGUAGAGUUCCAAAAGAGGGAUUAUCCCAUGCUCACUUUUUGCUCAUCAUGA
rnacentral:rRNA from 1 species